UUAUCAUCUGAAAAAAAUAAAUAAAGAUUAGAGGGUUCAUUUUUUACAAUCAAGACUAGGGCUUUAAGUUUAUAGGCCUUUGUAAAGUGAAGUAGCUCUCUCCCGCGGAGCUCAACCAUGGCAGACAGCAACGAGAAUCAGCAAGGCAAAGGCAAAGAGCAAGAGCAAGAGCAAGAGCAAUAUGGUGUCCUGCUUUACUACAAAUACACAGAAAUCCCUGAUCUCAACUCCCUCCUCUCCUUCUACAAUUCCAACUGCACUUCCCUCUCCCUCCUUGGCCGUGUCCGCCUCUCUCUCCAUGGAGUCAAUGUCACUGUUGGUGGCAAGUUGUCUUCAUUGGAGAAGCAUAUUGAAGCUGUGAAAGCUAUUAGUUUAUUUGAAGGGACUGAUUUCAAGCUUGCUUCUUGUCAUUUUCCAUUGAAUGACAAGGUUGCUCAUGAAUGUGGCUUCACUUCUCUUUCCAUUCGCAUUGUCAAGGAAUUGGUUACUUUUAGCCCUUAUCCUCUUGUUAAAGCACCGGAUGUUUCAAAUGCUGGUAGGCAUUUGUCCGCUGUGGAGUUCCAUUCUGCUCUUCAAAGUGCUGGGAAGCUUGUAGAUAAAGAAAGUCUAGCUGAUGAUAAAGGUCUUGUUUUAUUAGAUGCAAGGAAUCUGUAUGAGACGAGAAUUGGGAAGUUUGACAUGCCAAAUGUGGACACUUUAGAUCCUGGAAUCAGACAGUAUAGUGAUCUGCCAUCCUGGAUAGAUGAUAAUUCUGAACAAUUGCGAGGAAAGAAUGUCCUGAUGUAUUGUACUGGAGGAAUCAGGUGUGAGAUGGCAUCGGCCUAUAUUAGGUCAAAAGGUGCUGGAUUUGAGAAUGUGUUUCAGUUGUUUGGUGGAAUACAGCGUUAUUUAGAACAAUUUCCAGAUGGUGGUUUUUUCAAAGGAAAGAAUUUUGUUUUUGAUCACAGGAUUUCUGUUGGGAGCUCAGAUACAAAUAUCUUGGGAACCUGCCUUCUCUGUGGCUUAUCCUUUGAUGAUUACUCUUCACGAUGUAGAUGCUCAUAUUGUAGAAUGCUAGUAUUGGUCUGUGAUAGCUGCCGGAAGGAGGAAGCUGUUUAUGCUUGCGAGCUGUGCCAAAAACAUGGAAAGGUAAUUGAGUCAAAUGUUGCUGAAAAUGGUGAACAGCAAGAUAUAUUGCCUCAAGUUGAGCUCAAAACCAUUUCCUCAGAUACUAUCCUCUCGCCUCAACUUCAUGGGGAACAGGGUGCUAGGCCUCCAAGAAAGCUAAGAAUCUUGUGCUUGCAUGGGUUUCGGCAGAAUGCAUCUGGUUUUAAAGGAAGAACUGCAUCAUUAGCCAAGAAACUUAAAAACAUUGCUGAGCUUGUCUUUGUUGAUGCACCUCAUGAGUUGCCUUUCAUAUACCAGUCAUGUGUCUCGGAACUAGAGUGCAGUGAUGAAUCAUCAUUUUCAUCACAACAAAUUCUCCCCCCAACAGAAACUUGCAGGGGAAAGUUUGCCUGGUUGAUAGCACCUGAUUCCAAAGGAAGCAGUGCAACUGAUUGGAAAAAGGCAGAUAGUCCAUUUGAUCCCCUCCAGUACCUGCAGCAAACUGAAGGGUUUGAUGUAUCAUUAUCGUAUUUAAAGACAGUAUUCUCUCGGGAUGGGCCAUUUGACGGGAUCCUGGGAUUUUCACAAGGAGCAGCGAUGGCUGCUUUACUUUGUGCACAAAAAGGGAGGCUAAAAGGUGACAUUGAUUUCAGAUUUGCAAUUUUGUGUUCUGGGUUCGCUCUUCCAUUUGUGGAGAUUGAGAGUGGAUCGAUUAACUGCCCCUCUCUCCAUGUAUUCGGUUGUGUUCCAGGCAAGGACAGGCAGAUUGCAAACAAAACAAGCAGAGAACUUGCUUCAUUAUUUGAAGAUGGUUGCUCAGUUAUUAUUGAGCAUGAUUUUGGUCACAUCAUUCCUACUCGGACACCAUACAUUGAUGAAAUCAAAGGUUUCCUUCAACGCUUUCUGUAAUACGAUUAAAAAUCCUUUGUUAACCAAUAUUGUUACUUUAAGAUGGCUUCUCAGCUAUAUUACCUGAUCCGUAUUUGCUUAUUACUCAUUACACCAUUUUUCUUCAAUCACUUGCUAAUACAAUUCAAUUCCA